rnacentral:rRNA from 1 species
CCUACGGGUGGCUGCAGUGGGGAAUAUUGGACAAUGGGCGAAAGCCUGAUCCAGCCAUGCCGCGUGUGUGAAGAAGGCCUUCGGGUUGUAAAGCACUUUCAGUGGGGAAGAAAGCCUUGGGGCUAAUACCCUCGAGGAAGGACAUCACCCACAGAAGAAGCACAGGCUAACUCCGUGCCAGCAGCCGCGGUAAUACGGAGGGUGCGAGCGUUAAUCGGAAUUACUGGGCGUAAAGCGCGCGUAGGCGGUCUGAUAAGCCGGUUGUGAAAGCCCCGGGCUCAACCUGGGAACGGCAUCCGGAACUGUCAGGCUAGAGUGCAGGAGAGGAAGGUAGAAUUCCCGGUGUAGCGGUGAAAUGCGUAGAGAUCGGGAGGAAUACCAGUGGCGAAGGCGGCCUUCUGGACUGACACUGACGCUGAGGUGCGAAAGCGUGGGUAGCAAACAGGAUUAGAUACCCGAGUAGUC